AGAGUUUGAUCAUGGCUCAGAUUGAACGCUGGCGGCAGGCCUAACACAUGCAAGUCGAACGGUAACAGGAAACAGCUUGCUGUUUCGCUGACGAGUGGCGGACGGGUGAGUAAUGUCUGGGAAACUGCCUGAUGGAGGGGGAUAACUACUGGAAACGGUAGCUAAUACCGCAUAACGUCGCAAGACCAAAGAGGGGGACCCUCGGGCCUCUUGCCAUCGGAUGUGCCCAGAUGGGAUUAGCUUGUUGGUGGGGUAACGGCUCACCAAGGCGACGAUCCCUAGCUGGUCUGAGAGGAUGACCAGCCACACUGGAACUGAGACACGGUCCAGACUCCUACGGGAGGCAGCAGUGGGGAAUAUUGCACAAUGGGCGCAAGCCUGAUGCAGCCAUGCCGCGUGUAUGAAGAAGGCCUUCGGGUUGUAAAGUACUUUCAGCGGGGAGGAAGGGAGUAAAGUUAAUACCUUUGCUCAUUGACGUUACCCGCAGAAGAAGCACCGGCUAACUCCGUGCCAGCAGCCGCGGUAAUACGGAGGGUGCAAGCGUUAAUCGGAAUUACUGGGCGUAAAGCGCACGCAGGCGGUUUGUUAAGUCAGACGUGAAAUCCCCGGGCUCAACCUGGGAACUGCAUCUGAUACUGGCAAGCUUGAGUCUCGUAGAGGGGGGUAGAAUUCCAGGUGUAGCGGUGAAAUGCGUAGAGAUCUGGAGGAAUACCGGUGGCGAAGGCGGCCCCCUGGACGAAGACUGACGCUCAGGUGCGAAAGCGUGGGGAGCAAACAGGAUUAGAUACCCUGUAGUCCACGCCGUAAACGAUGUCGACUUGGAGGUUGUGCCCUUGAGGCGUGGCUUCCGGAGCUAACGCGUUAAGUCGACCGCCUGGGGAGUACGGCCGCAAGGUUAAAACUCAAAUGAAUUGACGGGGGCCCGCACAAGCGGUGGAGCAUGUGGUUUAAUUCGAUGCAACGCGAAGAACCUUACCUGGCCUUGACAUCCACGGAAGUUUUCAGAGAUGAGAAUGUGCCUUCGGGAACCGUGAGACAGGUGCUGCAUGGCUGUCGUCAGCUCGUGUUGUGAAAUGUUGGGUUAAGUCCCGCAACGAGCGCAACCCUCAUCCUUUGUUGCCAGCGGUCCGGCCGGGAACUCAAAGGAGACUGCCAGUGAUAAACUGGAGGAAGGUGGGGAUGACGUCAAGUCAUCAUGGCCCUUACGACCAGGGCUACACACGUGCUACAAUGGCGCAUACAAAGAGAAGCGACCUCGCGAGAGCAAGCGGACCUCAUAAAGUGCGUCGUAGUCCGGAUUGGAGUCUGCAACUCGACUCCAUGAAGUCGGAAUCGCUAGUAAUCGUGGAUCAGAAUGCCACGGUGAAUACGUUCCCGGGCCUUGUACACACCGCCCGUCACACCAUGGGAGUGGGUUGCAAAAGAAGUAGGUAGCUUAACCUUCGGGAGGGCGCUUACCACUUUGUGAUUCAUGACUGGGGUGAAGUCGAAACAAGGUAACCGUAGGGGAACCUGCGGUUG
rnacentral:rRNA from 1 species